GAUGAACGCUAGCUACAGGCUUAACACAUGCAAGUCGAGGGGUAACAAGAGGAAAGCUUGCUUUCCUUGUUGACGACCGGCGCACGGGUGAGUAACGCGUAUCCAACCUGCCUAUAACUAGGGAAUAACCUUGCGAAAGUAAGACUAAUGCCCUAUGACUUCCUUUGGCUGCAUCAAAAAAGGAAUAAAGAUUUAUCGGUUAUAGAUGGGGAUGCGUCUGAUUAGCUUGUUGGCGGGGUAACGGCCCACCAAGGCAACGAUCAGUAGGGGUUCUGAGAGGAAGGUCCCCCACAUUGGAACUGAGACACGGUCCAAACUCCUACGGGAGGCAGCAGUGAGGAAUAUUGGUCAAUGGGCGGAAGCCUGAACCAGCCAAGUAGCGUGCAGGAUGACGGCCCUAUGGGUUGUAAACUGCUUUUAUACAGGAAUAAAGUUAGCCACGUGUGGUUAUUUGUAGGUACUGUAUGAAUAAGGACCGGCUAACUCCGUGCCAGCAGCCGCGGUAA
rnacentral:rRNA from 1 species